ACUGUUUGUCAGUUAUAAUGUUAUAAAGUCUAAACCGUUAGCAUGAAAGAAUAUUAUUGCUGGGCAUUUUGUUGCUCAGCCAGAAGGUUAUGUUAGGGAAAAAAGAACAAGAUGAAAAUUUUAGUUCAGAAUAGUAUGCUUGAAACUGCAGAAGGGAUGGAUUUGAUUUCCUUCAUGGAGCCAAUCCUGAAGUAUAAAGCAAAUCUCCCAGAAAAAAGAAUCACAGAAUGGUCAAAGUUGGAAGGGACCUCUGGAGAUAACUAGUCCAGCCCCCUGUUAAAGCAGGUUCACCUAGACCAGGUUGUACAGAGUUCUGUCCAGGCACGUUUUUAAUGCCUCCAGAGAAGAAGACUCCACAACUUCUCUGGGCAGUCUGUUCCAGUACUGUGUCAACCUCAAGGAGGAAGAAGACCGUCCACUCUGGAUUAUGCAAGAGAUGGUAAAUGCCUUUGAGAUGGAGCAGACUGUUGCCUCAAAAUCAGCAAAAAAGAAAGUGGAGUGCAUACUAUUUUUUCUCCAGCACGACUUGGCUACACUUCUUCCUCUUCCUGUCCUUUAUGGGUCUUACAGCUUCUCUCAUUUGGAAGUAUUGUUUGAUUGGAGAAGCAGGCUGUGUUCACUGUUGUUCCUGUGCAGUACUGGAAUUCUGCCUGCUGGCUUGGUCUUCUGGAAAGAGCCCAGGGAAACAAAGCCUUCAAACAAGAAAGCAAGGUUUUAGCAACAGGAUGCUUUAUUUUGAGGAAUCUUUCAGCCACUCUAUCAACAAGGAGGACCAAGGCUGGUUAGAUCAUCUGCUCCAGGCUGCAUUUCUCCAUGCCUUCAGAGUCAGCAUCAAGGUAAGAGAGGUUUCAAAGUUUUGGCCUUUAUUUGGCUUAGUUUAUAGGCAGUAUGAAAUUAUAGUUUUGACACAAAUCACUGAGUCUUAAAAUAUCUUUGAUGGCACAUCAACAUUUCGCUAUGUUUAACACCAGAGAUUAGUCCAGACUGAGUGGUUCUUACAAAGCAUUUUUCACCCUCUGUAAA